rnacentral:rRNA from 1 species
AUUGAACGCUGGCGGCAUGCUUUACACAUGCAAGUCGAACGGCAGCGCGGGCUUCGGCCUGGCGGCGAGUGGCGAACGGGUGAGUAAUACAUCGGAACGUGCCCAGCCGUGGGGGAUAGCUCGGCGAAAGCCGGAUUAAUAUCGCAUACGACCUGAGGGUGAAAGCGGGGGAUCUUCGGACCUCGCGCUAUUUGAGCGGCCGAUGGCAGAUUAGCUAGUUGGUUUGGUAAAGGCCUACCAAGGCGACGAUCCGUAGCUGGUCUGAGAGGACGACCAGCCACACUGGAACUGAGACACGGCCCAGACUCCUACGGGAGGCAGCAGUGGGGAAUUUUGGACAAUGGGCGAAAGCCUGAUCCAGCAAUGCCGCGUGUGUGAUGAAGGCCUUCGGGUUGUAAAGCACUUUUGGCGGGAAAGAAAAGGACUGUGCCAAUACCACGGUUCGAUGACGGUACCCGAAGAAUAAGCACCGGCUAACUACGUG